GAUCUAAUUAAAAAAAAAAAAAAAAAAAAAAAAAAAAUAUACAUAUGCAUAUGUACACAUUUAUUAAUAUAUAACUCGAAAUAUAGAAAUAUGUACAAUAUAUAUUACUGUACUUAACUUUUUUUUUUCCUAAAAAAAAAAUUAAACCGGGCAAGCAAUUGUCUUUUUUUUUACACAUGUUUUAUACUUUUGUUUUAAUUUGCUUUAUUUUGUUCUAUUUUAUGUUUUUUUUUUUUUUUUUUGCUAUUAAAAUUAGGAAAAUUUUAUAUAUAAAAUUAUAAUUUUUUUUUUUCUUACUUCUCUUGCUAUUCUUAACACAUUUAACUGUGCUGUGCUCAUGCAUUUUUAUUUGUUUUAAAAAAAUGUGCUUAAAAAAUAGUAUAUAAUUAAAGGAUUACAACAAAAAUAUUAAUUAUUUUCCAAAUAGACUGAUGAACAAGAUGGGCUUAAAUGGCAAUGUGGAUAUUACAAAUUUAAUAAACGAAAGGGAUAGCUGGAUGAAGAAGUAUGAGGUAAUGGAAUCAGAGUAUUUAAGCCUAAAAGACAAAUUAAAAAAUAUGACAGACAGUAGUAAUAAUAAGAACAAAGUAAAGGAGGAUUAUGAGACUAUAGUGAAAGAUAUGUUCUUGAGAUAUAAAUAUAUGGUAUGGAAGAAUGUACAACAACGUGGUUAUACAUGUUCAUAUAUACAUGUCCAUAUAUACAUAUACAUGUCCAUAUAUACAUAUACAUGUUCAUAUAUACAUAUACAUGUACAUGUCCAUAUAUACAUAUACAUGCCCCUAAACGCCUUAUGUGUUACCCUUUUAAUAUUCCGCAGAAAAAUCAGCACGAAUAUUUGAACUUACAAAAUAAAAUUAUAAAUCUGGAAAAAGAGAAAGAAGUA
rnacentral:lncRNA from 1 species